AACGAACGCUGGCGGCGUGCUUAACACAUGCAAGUCGAACGCGAAAGGGACUUCGGUCCUGAGUAAAGUGGCGCACGGGUGAGUAACGCGUAGAUAACCUGUCUUUAUGUCUGGAAUAAUACGCCGAAAGGGGUACUAAUACCGGAUAUUUUUGCAUUGCACAAGUGAUGUAAGCAAAGGUGGCCUCUGGCAUAAGCUACUGCAUAAAGAGGGGUCUGCGUACCAUUAGCUAGUAGGUGGGGUAAAGGCCUACCUAGGCUACGAUGGUUAGCGGGUCUGAGAGGAUGAUCCGCCACACUGGCACUGGAACACGGGCCAGACUCCUACGGGAGGCAGCAGUGGGGAAUAUUGGGCAAUGGGCGCAAGCCUGACCCAGCCAUGCCGCGUGAGUGACGAAGGCCUUAGGGUUGUAAACCUCUGUUGUGGGGGAAGAAGCGAGUGACGGUACCUCACGAGGAAGCCCCGGCAAACUACGUGCCAGCAGCCGCGGUAAUAGUCACGUCGC
rnacentral:rRNA from 1 species